rnacentral:lncRNA from 1 species
UUGUUGUCAUAGAAAAAGAAUUAGAUAGAUAGUCACAUUCUAGAAAGAGCAAAGUCAUAAAUACUUCUGUGCUCAAGCUCUCUCAUUAUUCUUGUCUUAGGAGAUGGAUGUCAAGUCAAUCUUUCACAAAUCUCAUUUCAGACUGUUUUGGAGAGGAUUUAAUCCACUGUGAGCCAACAAAGGGAAGAUAUGUUUUCCAAGGUGCCAAGUUUCUUUCAAAGACUCCAAAGGAAAAGAUUUACUUGCAGAUGCUCGGAGAAUACCGUCUCAAGCCCAGGGCGAUGCAUUAUCUAUAGAAGAGCAGCAUAAAGCCAUGAUGUUGAGUUGCUUCCAGUUAAAAGAAAGGAAAAAGAAAAGAAAAGAAAUGAAAAGAAGAGAAGAGAAGAGAAGAGAGAGAAGAGAAGAGAAAAGAAAAAAGAAAAGAAAGAAAAGAAAAGAAAAGAAAAGAAAAGAAAAGAAAAGAAAAGAAAAGAAAAGAAAAGAAAAGAAAAAAGCAGGUGAUUUUGCAUACAAAUCAGAUUUCCAGCCUCUAAAGAACAAUUGUGAAAUUUCCCAGUUCUGGUCCAUGGGCUCCCAUGGUGAUGCCAUGUGCAGAGGUAGCCUUUCUGAGACUGGGCAUGUUCUCUCCACUGCUCUGCCUCCUGGACUGACGUUGACCAUAUGACAUAUCCAAUUACUGACUUGUGCUAUUGUUUUUCUUAUAGUUAGGAGAAAAGUGAAGUAUUUCUCGUCGACAUGUCUCUGUCCAAAGGGAAAAUAUGAAAAAUAGACCAAGACAGCUGUACAGAAAGGAUGCAUGAUGCAGUUUUAUGAAUGAGAAAAGAAAUCCCAAUAGAAUUGUUUUUGAAUCUAAUAGAAUGAAUGAUGCUACAGUGAGAUGUUCAAAACACA